rnacentral:lncRNA from 1 species
GUUUAUCAGGUAAUACAUUAAAUUUGGAUGCAAAAACAUGUGAAACAAAUGAAUGCAAUGCACCAGUGUCAAAUAAAACAUGAGCAAUAUGGUUACAGAUAGUGUACAUACCCUGUACCACGUUUGGGUCGGCAUCGGCAUCCUGCUGUGUGAGAUUGUAAACCCUACCCUAAAUAAGAGUCUUCCUUGAUUCUGGUUCCUUGG